UACGUAGGGGGCUAGCGUUGUUCGGAAUCACUGGGCGUAAAGCGCACGUAGGCGGAUUGUUAAGUCAGGGGUGAAAUCCUGGAGCUCAACUCCAGAACUGCCUUUGAUACUGAGGAUCUUGAGUUCGGGAGAGGUGAGUGGAACUGCGAGUGUAGAGGUGAAAUUCGUAGAUAUUCGCAAGAACACCAGUGGCGAAGGCGGCUCACUGGCCCGAUACUGACGCUGAGGCACGAAAGCGUGGGGAGCAAACAGG
rnacentral:rRNA from 1 species